rnacentral:rRNA from 1 species
GAUGAACGCUGGCGGCGUGCCUAAUACAUGCAAGUCGAGCGAAUGGAUUAAGAGCUUGCUCUUAUGAAGUUAGCGGCGGACGGGUGAGUAACACGUGGGUAACCUGCCCAUAAGACUGGGAUAACUCCGGGAAACCGGGGCUAAUACCGGAUAACAUUUUGAACCGCAUGGUUCGAAAUUGAAAGGCGGCUUCGGCUGUCACUUAUGGAUGGACCCGCGUCGCAUUAGCUAGUUGGUGAGGUGACGGCUCACCAAGGCAACGAUGCGUAGCCGACCUGAGAGGGUGAUCGGCCACACUGGGACUGAGACACGGCCCAGACUCCUACGGGAGGCAGCAGUAGGGAAUCUUCCGCAAUGGACGAAAGUCUGACGGAGCAACGCCGCGUGAGUGAUGAAGGCUUUCGGGUCGUAAAACUCUGUUGUUAGGGAUGAACAAGUGCUAGUUGAAUAAGCUGGCACCUUGACGGUACCUAACCAGAAAGCCACGGCUAACUACGUGCCAGCAGCCGCAGUAA